rnacentral:rRNA from 1 species
GAUGAACGCUGGCGGCGUGCCUAAUACAUGCAAGUCGAGCGAACAGACGAGGAGCUUGCUCCUCUGACGUUAGCGGCGGACGGGUGAGUAACACGUGGAUAACCUACCUAUAAGACUGGGAUAACUUCGGGAAACCGGAGCUAAUACCGGAUAAUAUAUUGAACCACCUGGUUCAAUACUGAAAGACGGUUUUGCUGUUACUUAUAGAUGGAUCCGCGCCGCAUUAGCUAGUUGGUAAGGUAACGGCUUACCAAGGCAACGAUCCGUAGCCGACCUGAGAGGGUGAUCGGCCACACUGGAACUGAGACACGGUCCAGACUCCUACGGGAGGCAGCAGUAGGGAAUCUUCCGCAAUGGGCGAAAGCCUGACGGAGCAACGCCGCGUGAGUGAUGAAGGUCUUCGGAUCGUAAAACUCUGUUAUUAGGGAAGAACAAAUGUGUAAGUAACUAUGCGCGUCUUGACGGUACCUAAUCAGAAAGCCACGGCUAACUACGUG